rnacentral:rRNA from 1 species
AUACGGAGGAUGCAAGCGUUAUCCGGAUUUAUUGGGUUUAAAGGGUGCGUAGGCGGUUUGCUAAGCGGGAGGUGAAAUGCCGGCGCUCAACGUCGGAAGUGCCUCCCGAACUGGUGGACUUGAAUGACUCUGCCGUGGGAGGAAUGUGUAGUGUAGCGGGGGAAUGCUUAGAGAUUACACAGAACACCGAUUGCGAAGGCAUCUCACGAAGGGUUGAUUGACGCUGAGGCACGAAAGCGUGGGGAUCAAACAGGAUUAGAUACCCUGGUAGUCCACGCAGUAAACGAUGAUGGCUAACCGCUGGGCUUAUCAGUUCAGUGGCCAAGCGAAAGCGAUAAGCCAUCCACCUGGGGAGUACGACCGCAAGGUUGAAAAUCAAAUGAAUUGACGGG